CAAGUCGAGGGGCAGCACAGGUAGCAAUACUGGGUGGCGACCGGCAAACGGGUGCGGAACACGUACGGAACCUUCCUUUAAGCGGGGGAUAGCCCAGGGAAACUUGGAUUAAUACCCCAUAAGAAUGCAGAGUGGCAUCACUCAGCAUUUAAAGCUACGGCACUUAAAGAUGGGCGUGCGGCUGAUUAGGUAGUUGGCGGGGUAACGGCCCACCAAGCCGACGAUCAGUAACUGGUGUGAGAGCACGACCAGUCACACGGGCACUGAGACACGGGCCCGACUCCUACGGGAGGCAGCAGUAAGGAAUAUUGGUCAAUGGACGCAAGUCUGAACCAGCCAUGCCGCGUGGAGGAUGAAGGCCCUCUGGGUUGUAAACUUCUUUUAUCUGGGAAGAAACCGGACUUUUCUAAGGCCGUUGACGGUACCAGAUGAAUAAGCACCGGCUAACUCCGUGCCAGCAGCCGCGGUAAUACGGAGGGUGCAAGCGUUAUCCGGAUUCACUGGGUUUAAAGGGUGCGUAGGUGGGCAGGUAAGUCAGUGGUGAAAUCUCCGGGCUUAACCCGGAAACUGCCGUUGAUACUAUCUGUCUUGAAUGUAGUGGAGGUGAGCGGAAUAUGUCAUGUAGCGGUGAAAUGCUUAGAUAUGACAUAGAACAUCGAUUGCGAAGGCAGCUCGCUACACUAUGAUUGACACUGAGGCACGAAAGCGUGGGGAUCAAACAGGAUUAGAUACCCUGGUAGUCCACGCCCUAAACGAUGGAUACUCGACAUCAGCGAUAAACUGUUGGUGUCUGAGCGAAAGCAUUAAGUAUCCCACCUGGGAAGUACGACCGCAAGGUUGAAACUCAAAGGAAUUGACGGGGGUCCGCACAAGCGGUGGA
rnacentral:rRNA from 1 species